rnacentral:lncRNA from 1 species
GGGAUGGCUCUUAGAGAUUGCUUGGUUCAAGUGGCAGAGCCUGUACCAAGACCAAAUCUUUGCUUUCAAUUUGGGGGUCUGUAUCUCAAAGCCUUUAAAAUGCUGAUGGAAGGAGUGGAGAUCCAGCGUUCAGGGUAGAAAAGAGGAAAAUCCAUGGAACCAUAAUCUAUGGAUGGCUUUAGGAAUGGGAUUGACUGCAAAGGAGCACAAGGGAACUUCCUGGGGUGAUGGAAAUGUUUUGUCUUGAUUGUGGUAAUGAUUACAUGACUAUGUUUGUCAAAAUUCCAGAACUUUAUACCUAAAAGGGUGAAUUUUACUGCAUGUAAAUUAUACCUAAACACAUGACUUUUUAAAAAGGCCUGAAAUCUUAACUACUCAGCUAAAAAUAAAAUAAAAUAAAAUAAACAAUUUAGGUGCAAAACAAGUUUUGUUUUUGGGACUGACAGAGGUCCAGUGAUUGUAUUUAUUUAUAAAGCUAAUAAUCCAAUCCAAUAUAUCAAUAUCAAUACUUUUAAAUAGGAUAUAAAAAGUUAUGAGAUUUUUUAAAAUAAGGAUUUAGACUGCAAAAUAUUAUGACUACAAUGUUCCUGAAGCAACACUAUCUUAAAAAAUAUCUCAAACAGAAAAUAACACUCUAAUGCUCUCAAUCAUUGCAAUAAUUGAAACUUCCAGAAUAUUACCAUAAUGCUGCUUAUAUUACAUACCCAAAGCCCUGUAUUUAAUAGUUAAAAACAAAGAAUUAUUUAAUACCAGCUAGCUUCAUUACUUGAUAGAUUAACUUGCUUGACAGAUCAACAUUACUUGAUAGAUUACUGGAUAGAUCAACUAGCUUCCUAAAACAUAACUGUAGCUCAGCUUCUAAAAAAGGUGAAAGAAAUUAUUAUAUUCAACUGAACUAGAUUUUAAAAAUAAAGACUAUCAAGAACAUAGGAAGAGGUAAUUAAAUGACGGGUCCUCUCUACUAAGGUUUCAAUAGAAGCAAAUACAUCCGAGAAACCAUUUACAAAGAACUCACCCUCAUAAUUGCCUUAGAGACCAAAGUCACAAUUUUAAGGCCAAGAUCUUUAGAAAUCAGAUAGGUCAGUGUGACGGUUAAUUCUGUGUCAAACUUGACUGGAUUAUGGGGUGCCCAGAUAUUUUGGUCAAACAUUAUUCUGGGGUUAUCUUUGUAAGGGUGUUUUGGAUGAGACUAACAUUUAAAUUGACAGACGAAAGCAGAGUGCCUUCUAUAAUGUAGGUGGGCUUUAUCCAAUCAUUUAAAGGCCUGAAUAGAAUGAAAAGUUUGACCCUCCCCAAAGUGAGUGAAUUCUUCCUACUUUUGAACUGUGACAUGGGCUUUUUCCUGCCUUUGGACUUGGACUAGAACUACACCAUCAGCUCUCCUAGGUCUCAAGCUUGCUUACUCACCUUGCAGAUCUUGGGACUUGCCAGCCUCCAUCACUGCAUAAGUCAAUUCCUUAUAAUAAAUCAUAUAUGUGCACACACAGGCAUGCCUCAGAGAUAUUGCAGGUUUGGUUCAAGACCACUGCAGUAAAGUAAAUAUCACAGUAAAGGGAUCCACACAAAUUUGUUGGUUUCUCAGUGCAUAUAUGUUAUGUUUACACUACACUGUAGUCUUAAGUGUGCAACAGCAUUAUGACUUUAAAAAAAGUACACACCUUCAUUUAAACAUAUUUUCUUGCUAAAAAAAUGCUGACAGACAUAAAGUGAGCACAUGCUGUUGGAAAAAACGGUACCAACGGUACCAAUUUGUAAAUAACACAUUAUCUGCAAAGUGCAAUAAAGUGAGACACAAUAAAAUGAGGUAUGCCUGUAUAUCCUAUUGGUACUGUUUCUCUGGAGAAUCCUAAUACAACCUGCUUUCAAAUCAAUUUAAGACCCUCCCCCCAUAAGCAUUACAUUGAGGAAAAUGUGGUUGCAACUUUGUCCUACAAAUUAGGACAAAGAGACCUUUGUUGCCAUAUAACAAUAUUAAAAAACCAGUAUGCCUACCUCUGGAUGUAUUUGCUACAAAUACCAGUAUUAGAUUGUAAUUGCCAAUCCUUUAAAACCAGUUUUAAGAUGGAUAUAAAGCCCUAAAAAUCUUGCAGCUUCCACAUGCACAUCUGAAAAACUUCCAAUUUACAAAGGACAUUGUGGUAUUUUUGGAAAACAAAGGAAAAUGACACAUACUAAUUUCUGUCAUUUAUUCACGUCAUAAUCCCCAAAGCUACCUUUAUUCCACGACUCUUUCCACCAUUUUCCUACAGUCAGCUUUUUUUAAGGCUAUAGCCUUUAAAAACUUGAAACAGAAAAUUUUAAGGAUGCAACCAUUAGAAAAUGUUCCCAUACUACCAUUUAACAUUCCCCAUUUAUCAUUAUGUUUACUAUCGUGUAAUUUCCAACAUAAUAUUAUGAGGUCAAAGGCUCUACGAACGCCGUUUUACAAUCUACCUAGGGAGGCAAUGGCUGUGAAACACACCACACCAAUGACAGGAAUGCGGGUCACUGUGACACAACGGAUCCCUCUGCAAAGUCAAAGCUAAGAGUUCACUUUACGCUGACGGAGCUUCUUUCCAGGACCCCCACCCCCACCCAAGGACAGGAGAGUGUCGAUUUCCCAAGGUGUCUGGCACUGCUUCUUGAAAACGCAGCUCUCAUCUGGUUCCUGGAAGGUCAUACUGGUUCGCGCAGGGCUCGGGACGGGGCGCUUGGCUUCUGAGGCACCCGCGCUGGCUCCUCACCCGGUGACCUUCAGGCCUCUGCGCUUGGCCUGACCCUAGAAGGGCCACCGCCCUUCACAGCGGGCGGGCACCGUCCCUCCCACGGCCCCGCCGACUGCUGACGCGGUGGCCCCAAGGGUCCAGGCCCGCACUUGCCCCACUCCCGCGGCGCCGUCCCCCAUAGUCGGUCCCCGAGGGCCGCGCCCAGCUCCUGCUCGGAUUUCAGCCCGCACCGCACCCCAGCCGCCAGGGAACCUUCCAGAACCCUGCCCCUCUGGCUUUCUCCCGAAAGCCCAGGGUCGCCGUCCAGGAAGAAACUUCGAUUCAUUUAUUGAGCGCCGACUGUGUCCAAGGCCGAGGGAGGGGCGGGGUUUCCACGCGGGGAGACCCCCUAGGUUCUCGCCUCGGUAAGCGCCCGCGUUCCAGCACCUCGAGUCGCCCGCGGGCCCCCACCCCUCGGGCCGGGCCCGGUCCUCGAGGAAAACCCACGGCGGGGCAGGAAGGAACGAGGAGAGCCACGCUCCUUGCCCGCCUCGUCCCCUCCACUCCCCUUCACCUCACGGGACCCCAGGGAAGCCGCCGGAGCUAAAAUUAGCAACCCGCGCAGCGCGCGCUCACGUGCGCGCGGCCCGGCGGGGGCGGGGAGCAAGGGGCGCGGUCCGGGUGAGUCACCGGCCCCGCCCCACUCGCCAAGAACGCGCUGACGUCAGCCGCUUCCCCGAAGGGUGACGUAAGCGCGCCACGGGGAGGCCGAGGCAGCUGAUAGAAUGUUCUGAGUUUCGAUGCCUUAAAGGGACCAGGCCUGGGAUCGUGAAACAUCUGGGGAAACGACUCCACUCACUCACCUGCAGACUGAGAGCCCAUCUUGUACCGUGUUAUACUUUAAGAGAGUUGACUGUUGAGAUGAUGAUGAAAACGGAAGAACAACUGAGCCUAGUUGGAGGCUCUUUGAAGUCCCAGAACCUCCUCCUGGAAGCCCUCUUUGGUUAACCAGAUGGACAUCUCAGUUGCCCUCUGAGCCUGAACCAAGUGUCAGGAAGAGUUUUCUAUGGCCCUUGACUCCUUAACUCUUUGCUUAUAGCGUCUCUGCUCUCUGAUGCCUCUGCUGUCAGAGAAAGGCUGUGGUUUAAAUAUUUAUUUAUGAAUCCAUCAGCUUGGGCCAACUAGGUCCAUUUAUCACCGUUUUGACUGUGUCUAAACUGUCAUUAGUGGUGUGACUAGAAACCAGUUAAUUUCGCUGGGUGGUAAAUUCGUGGACUGAUCUCCAAACCCUCCUACUGUGCUAAUGUUGCCAAUGGAAGUUUCCAGAGGCCAGGAUCCCUGGCCAACACGUGAUCGUAAACAACAUCAGGGCCUCACAGGGAACUCACAAUUUACUGAGGUUUGCUCUGUGCCAGGUGUUUUCAUGAUCCUCCAUCCCCUUGUCGUUUAGUCCUCUUCUCUGAGUCCUCCCCAUUUUACUGAUGAGGACGGAAAUCGAGGCACACGAUUAAGCGUUUCCCUGGGUCACACAGCUAAUGAAUGGCGAGCUGGAAGUCAGUCCCAGGUCAUCAGACUCCGAAGUCCAUGGUUUUGGUGAUGAAGGUGGGCUGUGAAAUGUGUGUCUUAUUCUAUGCAUGUGAGUCCGCUGGAACCAACUUUUCCACUUGGAACACAAUCUCAGUGCCUUUCAGCAGGUAACCGGCGCCAGACCAGAUCUCCAGAGAUGGAGGUGGUCGGCCUCAGGGCCCAGCCAUGAGAAGGUGUAUGAGGAGGCAUCGCAUCAGGCGCCCACCCUGUGCUUGCAGGGCCUGACCAUGAGCGCCGCCUUCAGUUUUACACCUUAGGCACCCCACUUGGCUCCCCUUCGUCCCAGCCCUGCCAGACCCACCCUUGACUCUGUGUUUCCUUUCUGGAAACUCGAGAGGCCAUUUCUACUUAAAGAGUCCUCACCUGGCCUACCAGCGACCAGAUCUGCCCAAGUGCAGAAGAAACACUUGGUUAUCUCCUCUUUCAUCGUCCCCGCUCGAGCAUAAAACAACAGAAAGUUUCCUAUCGGAACAGCAUGCUUGUGCCAAAAACAAAUUAGAAACAACAACAACUUCUCAAAAUUUUGAGCAAAAUGAUGGUGACCGUGUUCUGGAAAUGGAGCAAAGUUUCCUAGUGCCUGUGACCAAACACCUUGUGUGUGCUCCCCAGGAGAGAAAACCGCUAGCAGCCUCAGUUGUGGAGCCUGGGGAAUUCAAGAUCAAGGUGCUAGCAGAUUAGUGUCUGGUGAGGACCGGCUCCCUGGGUUGCACACCUGCCUUCUUGCUGUGUCCUCACGUGGCCUUUCCUUGGUGGUGUGCCUGUGAAGAGAGAGAGAGCUCUCCUGUCUUUUCCUCUUCUUCUAAGGGCACUAAUUCCAUCAUGAGGGCACCAUCCUCAUGACCUAAUCCAAACCUAAUGAUCUCUCAAAGGCUGCACCUCCAAAUACCAUUAUACUUCGGGUUAGGGCUUCAACAUACAAUUUUGGAGGAGACACAAACAUUCAUCCCAUUUAUUUGGUGCUCAAUAAAUAUUGGAUGUAUGAAUGGAUGGAAUAAAAAAAGAUAAACCUGUGUGGUAAUUGGAUAGAAAACACAUGGACAUACAGUCAUAUGCCACAUGACGUUUCAGUCAAUAAUGAACCGCGGAUAUGAGAGGAGUCCCAAAAGAUAUAAUGGGCCAGGAGCUGUGGCUCACACCUGUAAUCCCAGCACUUUGGGAGGCCAAGGCAGGCAGAUUAGUUGUGGUCAGGAGUUCAAGACCAGCCUGGCCAACAUGGUGAAACCUUGUCUCUACUAAAAAUACAAAAAUUAGCUGGUCACAGUGGCACAUGCCUGUAAUCUCUGCUACUUGGGAGGCUGAGGCAGGAGAAUAGCUUGAACCCAGGAGGCGGAGGUUGCGGUGAGCUGAGAUCGCACCAUUGCACUCCAGCCUCGGCGACAAGAGUGAGACUCUGUAUCCAAACAACAACAAAAAUCAAAAAAACAAACAAAAAGAUAUAAUGGAGCUCAAAUAAUCCUGUCAUCUAGUGAUAUAGUUGUCAUAACAUAGUAGUAAAACAUAUUAACUUUUUUUU